AUACAUGCAAGUCGAGCGCAGGAAGUUAUCUGAUCCUCUUUUAGAGGUGACGAUAAUGGAAUGAGCGGCGGACGGGUGAGUAACACGUAGGCAACCUGCCUGUAAGACUGGGAUAACUCGUGGAAACGCGAGCUAAUACCGGAUAACACUUUUCAUCUCCUGAUGAGAAGUUGAAAGGCGGCUUUUGCUGUCACUUACAGAUGGGCCUGCGGCGCAUUAGCUAGUUGGUAAGGUAAUGGCUUACCAAGGCGACGAUGCGUAGCCGACCUGAGAGGGUGAUCGGCCACACUGGGACUGAGACACGGCCCAGACUCCUACGGGAGGCAGCAGUAGGGAAUCUUCCGCAAUGGACGAAAGUCUGACGGAGCAACGCCGCGUGAGUGAUGAAGGUUUUCGGAUCGUAAAACU
rnacentral:rRNA from 1 species